GUCUGUAUGAAGUUAAAUGGAGUCUGUUCUGCCCAUUGAGAAUAAAAUGUCUUAAAAGGCCGCGGUAUACUAACUGUGCAAAGGUAGCAUAAUCAGUAGUUUUUUAAUUGAAGGCUUGUAUGAAUGAUUGGACAAGGGUGAAACUGUCUUUUUUCAAAAGAUUGAAUUUAAUUUUUAAGUGAAAAAGCUUAAAUAAAUCAGAGGGACGAUAAGACCCUAUAAAUCUUUAUGUUAAGAUUUUUGUGAAGAAAAUAUUGUAAAGUAGAGAAAGUCGCAAGAAUAAAAACAUUUGGCUGGGGUGGCAAUGAUAUAGAAAUAACUAUAAAUACAAAAAUAACAAACAUAUUUGGAAUUAAAAGAUCCUAAUUAUGGAGUAAGAGUUAAAGUUACUUUAGGGAUAACAGCAUAAUUUCUUUGGAGAGUUCAAAUCGAAAAAGAAGUUUGUGACCUCGAUGUUGAAUUAAAAGAUCUCUGAGGUGCAGAAGUUUCAGGGGAGAGUCUGUUCGACUUUUAAAUUUUUACAUGAUUUGA
rnacentral:rRNA from 1 species